UUGGUUUCGUUUUGUUUGUGGAAAGCAUAGGCCGGUUAAAGCUGUACUAUUCCUAUUAUAAGUUGGGUUCAGAUAAGGUUUUUCACACUAAAGCAAGUUUAGCGGAUGGGAUGGGUUUGGUUACCGAUAUCCAGACCGAAGUCCUUCCAUCAGUAAAUAAAUGUAUUAAACAGGUACGCGGGUCGAAAAAGCAAUACCAGCCGAAGCUAAUAUCACUUUUUAUAAGUUGGGUGUGGUAAUGAUCCUUCCGCAGGUUCACCUACGGAAA
rnacentral:misc_RNA from 1 species